GAGAUACUCCCUCCGUUCCAAAUUACUCGUCGCAAAAAUGGAUGUAUCUAGAACUAAAAUACAUCUAGAUACAUCCAUUUCUGUGACAAGUAAUUCGGAACGGAGGGAGUAGCAA
rnacentral:pre_miRNA from 1 species